UACAGAGGUCUCAAGCGUUGUUCGGAUUCAUUGGGCGUAAAGGGUGCGUAGGCGGCGCGGUAAGUCGGGUGUGAAAUCUCGGGGCUUAACUCCGAAACUGCAUUCGAUACUGCCGUGCUUGAGGACUGGAGAGGAGACUGGAAUUUACGGUGUAGCGGUGAAAUGCGUAGAUAUCGUAAGGAAGACCAGUGCGAAGGCGGGUCUCUGGACAGUUCCUGACGCUGAGGCACGAAGGUCAGGGGAGCAAACGGG
rnacentral:rRNA from 1 species